rnacentral:lncRNA from 1 species
UGGUUUAUAGUGUUCUGUCAAUUUUCUACUGUAUGGCAAGGUGACCCAGUCAUGCAUACAUUCUCUUACAACUGGCUCCACUUUUAAAGCUCCACGUAUGAUGAACAAUGGCUUUUGGAAAAACUCAUGCUGGGUUCCAGCCAACACUGUAGUGGUGCAUAAAACUUGGCUGUCAAGAUGCCAGUUGUGCAAGGCUCUAAGUUUCCCAGGUGCCUGGAUUCUUCCAGUCAAUAGUUAUCAUUCCUACAAGACCAGUUGCUCCCUAGCCAGUAAGAAGAAGCAGGUCUCUUUCCAGGCAACUGCCCCCUUAAACGGUCUUGCCACAUUGCUUUGUAAAAUAUUCACCCUCCUUCCUGUUCUUGCCUCCAAACACUGGAGGAAAAAGAAGCAAGAAACCACCAAGUGAUGCCACCUUCUGAUUGAAAGCUUACCCAUCACCUCCUCAGAAACCCAUUAGGUCAGUUUUGGGGCAGCAAAUACGGUCUUUGGCACAGGUCCCUACAGCUGUCAAUGGAUAUUUAUCUUUAGUCAAAUCUUACCUUGUGGUUGCCUGAUGGGAGGGGGAGGGUGUGGGAGGGAUCGGGAGCUUGGGCUUAUCAGACACAACUUAGAAUAGAUUUACAAGGAGAUCCUGCUGAAUAGCAUUGAGAACUAUGUCUAGAUACUCAUGUUGCAACAGAAGAAAGGGUGGGGGAAAAACUGUAAUUGUAAUGUAUACAUGUAAGGAUAACCUGACCCCCUUGCUGUACAGUGGGAAAAAAAAAAAAAAAUCUUACCUAUGGAGGUUGCUGAGCAAGUAUCUGCUCUAGUAAUUCAAAAGAGUGUCUUUGAGGGGCUUCUUGAAAUUUGGCUUGGUUUAGGUUUGGAAUGGAAAAUGCUGUAAAUUUCCAUUUGGGGUGAUGCAAUCAGGAAAUUCAGUGCUCUCUGCACUGGCUCCACAGGGUAGGUCUGGGUGGGGGAGGAAACAAGGCCAGUUCUCCUGAGGGGAGGCCACCAGGAUUUGGAGAUACUGCAUAGAUCCUGGCAGGGGGACAAGGUCACUCUGAGAGUGACAAGAGUUUCCAGCAGGGAAGGGAGGAAAACUGGACAGCUCGGCCCCAAGCUGCACCUGAGGAUCAAUAUUCAGAGUGUUUAUGCAGAGAUAGGCUAGUGAAAAGCUGAGGGUUGAAGCCAGAUUCUACCCAACACUCAGUAAAUUCCAGCUCUGCCCUACCAACCCUAUGGCCCUGGAGGAAUUAUUUAAUCCCUCAAAGGGUCUGGUUUAUCAUCUGUAAAAGAAAGAAAAAAACCACUUCCUUCCUAAGGUUAUUCAUGAGGAAUACAUGUGCAGCAUCUAUACAGUCCCUGACUCCCAGUGGGUUUUUGGUUAAGCAGCGUCUAGUUCUCUACCACUCAGACUGUCUCAGCAGAACUCUGGCUUUGACUUGGUUCAAAGAGACCACAAAAGUAGGUUACCAGCAAAUUCUAGCUUAAUCACUAACCUGGAGUAAGAUGCUUAAAUUUCUCUCCUGAAGUUGGAGGGCCAAAACUACUAGGUUGUGGAGAGGUUUCAAAGAAGAAUUCACAAAAAAGGAAAGUGAUGCAACCUGGGAGAAUCUUCCCUAGCUGGGCUCCAUUUCUCUGUGUCCACCAUAGAAAGGUGAUGAUGACUUGGGAGCAGGGUCAUUAGUGUGUCACCCAUUGGUCCCAACAGGGUGUGGGGAAUAUAAUGAGCCAGGACCACUGACAUUCAUCCUCCUUCUCAGUGCAAAAUCCCAAUUUUUAUAUAUUAUCCACCUCCAUACAACAUGUGUGUGGCCCCAAUCCUCACAUCAGGGGGAAACCUAAUUAGCAUAAGCAUAAGUUAGCAGAUGAAUAGAUCCAGGACAUAAGCCAGUCCACUAGAGAGUCUCAGGACUAUUGCUUGGAAGCAUGGAUAAAGGUGCCUUCUCUUCUCUGUACACGUAAGGCCCAGAUAUGAAGACCAAACUGCUACAGCCAGUCUCACUGGGAUAAAGGAAGAAAAUGCAAUCAUAAAGCCCAUGGUAGUGGGGGGGGGGGGGGGGGGGGGGGGGCAGAGCUGAUUCACAACAUUGUGAAUUCACAACACUGUGUUAGCUUCUUGAUCAAACCUCACCUGAAGUCAGACCUCUUCGGAUCAAACUUCACCUGGAGUCAGACCUCUUUGGAUUUUCUGACUGUUUAUCACAUCUACCCCAGUCGAUAAACAGUCAUUAUUUAAGCCAGUUCACACUAGGGUGUCUAUUGCUCACACACAUGCUUCUACCUCCAAGGAUCCCCAGAACCUCCAGCAAUGCCAACAAGAACUCCACCCUUUCCUCAAAUGGACCAGAUUUCCUGACAACACAUGCAAUUUCCUAGUACACAGAACAGACCCUGGCUUGCUGCCCUCAGGCUGUGCAGCAAAAAGACAAAGGGAUAAAGCUUAACUCUGGCAGCUUCCCCCCUUCCUCGCUGAGCCCAUCUCUUGCUCUCCAACGCUCCUCUGGGUCCUGACAUUCCUUUUGGAAUGAUUUGCCAUCAAUCAAGUCUGACCAAAUUCAAGUUCCAAAAACAAGAUCUGAUAGUAAUUCUGAAACUCUCAUAAUUCUACCUUUUGUGCAAAAAAGUCAAUGUGUGAGUGUGUGUAAGUGCAAAUGGGUACACACAAGUGUAUAUGUACGAAUGAGUCUAUAAUGUGUAUGUGCCUGGGAGUGUGUGAAUGUUUACAGUGUACAUACAGGCCGUUUCUGGAUGAGCACUCCACCUAGGGGUGGACUGUCAGACUGAUAGCCCCUGAUGAUACAGGAAGUAGGUGUGACUCAGGCCUGGCCAGGAGAUCAAGGGAAAUAGAAUGACAAUACCCAGAAGGUACAGCUUUCUCUUUUAACAAGCAUAAUAAGAGAAAGGUUGUGGAACAAACAGAAAAGCGAAGAAAGCUUUUUAUUGGAAUAAAAAACUCUGUACAAGCCUAAUGUUUGCAAAUCUGUACGUGGCCCAUGGAACAGGGGCUACAAACCCUAGCGGGUCAGUCAGGUCAAAUCUACAAGUCCUGCGGGCAGUGUUCUCCUGUGACAAACUGGACAUUGCAUGCCUGGUCAUAGGGGGAUGUUGCCAUUUAGCUCAGCUGGUUGACAACGGAUUACAGUGGCCCAGAGAUGCCAGGACUCCAGUUUUGAAACAAAGCACACCAUAAUAAGUUAUCCAGAUUUAUAUGUGAACCAUUCCAGUUUUCCAUCUGGUGGUGAUUAAUUCCCAUGAUAUUUAAACUAAGUCUCCAGUGUACGACUUACAUUUUGAACCUCAGUUACUUCUUUAGAUUCAAGAAAGUUUAACUUAGGACUCCUUUAAAUUCUCAUUGCUCUGAGAGUACUUAACAACAAUGAGUCAACUCACAAAAAGUACAAUUGGCCCCCCCACCAGAGUCUGAAGUAAGGGAAACCUGGAUGAUUAUAAUUAUGUCUGAGCAGAAUCAUUCAAUAGGUAGAAGGGGAGGAGUUGACAACACUGGGUUUCUGAAUUCUAUUUUUCAGCCCACAGGAUAUGAAUCACACAGGCCCUAAACCCUCAGCAGGGUACAUCUCUUUGUCAGAAGCAUGAGGCAUUAGAAAUGUCCUGUCUCAAUUUCACAAAAACAUUUGCCUACUGAAUAAAGUCUUUAGUUCCAAAGCUGACUUUCCACUCUUCUCUAGGGGAGCUCUGAAGAAGCUUAUCACCUAAAGUACACAGUGAAUAAUUUGCAAUACCCCAGAAAACCAUCUAGGGACCUGGUGGUAAUGUAAUUCACAUUACAGAUAGUGACACACUAGCCUCAAAUCCUAGUUGCACCAGAUACUUCUUCAAGUGGAAGAUUUCCAAGGGUCAUGCUUCUGAAUAAUUAUCUAUAUCAAAUCCCAACACACCUCUGAAUGAAUGAUUUCUAAAUUUGACUAUUUGUAAGCUGUGUUGCUGAAGCAAGCGGCUGAGUGUUUCAGAAAAACAUAGCAAGAAUAGUCCCCACCUGCUGAGCCAGCUAGGAAUCUCAUUUCUCUAGAUAACAACAACCAUGGCUAACAUUUACUGAGCACUUACUAUGUUCCAAGCACUACAUUAAGCACUUUUCAUUCAUCCACUUAUUUAAUGUUUUCUACUACCCUAUGAUGGGGAGCUAUCAUUAUCCUAUUUUUCAGAUAAGGCAAAGGAGGGUUAAGAAAAUUACACAAGGAGUCCUAGUUGUGGCACAGUAGAAAUAAAUUUGACUAGUAUCCAUGAGGAUGAACUCCCUUUACUUAUAUUCUUCACAGCUGGCCCAGUGCCUGGUAUAUGCUGGGCACAAGAGUCAUGUCUGUUGAGUGACUGGAUGGAUUAAAGACACCCAACUAGACUAACAUAUGAAACCAGUCAAUAAUAUCAAUAAAAGCAACAGCUAACAUAUAUUGAGUACUAAUGAGCUAAUAAGUACAAAUACGUAAUUUCAUUUAACUUUCCAAUUACUCUAUAAUAGAGACAUACUCAUUAUCUCCAUUUUACCAUUAAGGAAACUGGGGCACAGGGAAGGAACCUACUCAAGGUCACUCUGCAAGCAAAGCCUUGACUUAGCCAGGUGUUGCCUGGUCUUGACCUGAUGGGCUCUGCUGUUAAACUCACUUCUCUUAACCUAACACUGUAUCUCCCCUCACCUACUGUCCUACCUGAAGGCAGUUAGCAUCCCACUAGUUCUCUUCAAAUACUUUCCUACCAUACUUACCCUCUCACAAGUGCACCUGUGCAUGGUCACAAAUCAUCAUAACCCUAAUUAUUAGCCAAGCUUCCACAAGUCAUCAAAUCCAAGAGCGGCUUUAAGACAGAGACAAAUAUGCAAGAUGCAUGAAAUACCAACAUUUCCCCUCUUCGUUUUCACUAGCUUUAGAAUUUGACUUGAUUGCUUCAUUAAUCCCAAAGGCACGUGAUAAAUCUACCAUGUGCCCCUAAGAGAUGCAGCAUUU